GCAGGGACAAAACAAUGAGGCCUCCUUCCUAUUUACUCUGACGGCUUAUUAUCCUGGGGCUAAGAAGUCACCACCUUCCCUGUGUCAGAGUGAAAUCAAUUCACUUUGUGUAGGGGUUUCAAUAUCUGAGAGGUUGCAGCUCUUAGUCAAGAAAAAGUUCAAAGGAUUCCUGGAAGACUACGGAUCUACACAGAUUUCAUUGCAACAGAAGUGUGCUUGUGCUAAAUUAUAUACGCACUUUCAAGAUGACUCAAAGCUAGUCGGCAUCAACAAGAUCCAAUGCAGUAAGGUCUGUUCAGAAAACUUUAAAUCAAAAAAAAGUGGGUGUAGGUUGCUGUUUGUAGUUCUUCUCCUUUCACUGCAGCCAGCAUGAAGGCAUUGUCACUUCUGCAAUUUAUAAGAGUUGACAUGUACAAUCUCAAGCCGUUCCAUCUACUCAUCAAAAUACUGGUUUAUUGGUUCUGGUUAUUAUAUGUUGUUUAGAGCACUUUCAAAUGUUGAUUUUCUAUUUGUUAUUGUUUAUGAAUUUGGGAGUAAUGGAUAUGAGAUGUGCUUCUAUUUCUUUUUUAUUUUAUGAAUUUGUAAUGCAUCCCUUUUGAUAACUUAAUAUCUAAAAUAUGUAACAGGAGAUAAACA